GGGGAGCAUUUAAAGUUUAAAUGUUGCCUGAUAUACCCUUCCUACAACAAAAAAAUAAAAUCUCUGCUUUUCCUACUUGUUGCACGUGAGACACGUGUGCAAGCCUCUUGACUAUGAGAUACAUA